AUACAUCUGGCCUCUGGACUGUAAAGUCAGGUUUCAGGGUGGUGAAUGGUAAAACUGCAGCUCAGAUGAGUAGACUGGAAACAAUACUACAGACUUAUAUCGGUCAUAUACACCCCUAAUUUCCAGGUGAAGCUGGUGGCUAAGUCAGAAGUCACAUCAUGUUGGGGUGGGGUUGUGACAAGAAGUUGGCGGAACUGAGUGUGGAGGAGUGAGCCGAGUGAGGCAGGGACCUCUCCUUACUGACGAGAUCAUCUCACCUGAGUGUUGAGUUUUUGAAUAUCAGGUCCCGAUUGUGCAAUUACACAGAGGGGUACAAGGUACAUGCCGUGGGGCUGAAAAUCUACCACUCAACAAAGAUCUGCC